AUUGAACGCUGGCGGCAGGCCUAACACAUGCAAGUCGAACGGUAACAGGGAUCAGCUUGCUGAUUCGCUGACGAGUGGCGGACGGGUGAGUAAUGUCUGGGAAACUGCCUGAUGGAGGGGGAUAACUACUGGAAACGGUAGCUAAUACCGCAUAACGUCGCAAGACCAAAGAGGGGGACCUUCGGGCCUCUUGUCGUCGGAUGUGCCCAGAUGGGAUUAGCUAGUAGGUGGGGUAACGGCUCACCUAGGCGACGAUCCCUAGCUGGUCUGAGAGGAUGACCAGCCACACUGGAACUGAGACACGGUCCAGACUCCUACGGGAGGCAGCAGUGGGGAAUAUUGCACAAUGGGCGCAAGCCUGAUGCAGCCAUGCCGCGUGUAUGAAGAAGGCCUUCGGGUUGUAAAGUACUUUCAGCGGGGAGGAAGGGAGUAAAGUUAAUACCUUUGCUCAUUGACGUUACCCGCAGAAGAAGCACCGGCUAACUCCGUG
rnacentral:rRNA from 1 species